rnacentral:rRNA from 1 species
GACGAACGCUGGCGGCGUGCUUAACACAUGCAAGUCGAACGCUGAAGCCUGGCUUUUGUUGGGUGGAUGAGUGGCGAACGGGUGAGUAACACGUGAGUAACCUGCCCUCUUCUUUGGGAUAACGCCCGGAAACGGGUGCUAAUACUGGAUAUUCACUUGCCUUCGCAUGGGGGUGGGUGGAAAGGGUUUUUUCUGGUGGGGGAUGGGCUCGCGGCCUAUCAGCUUGUUGGUGGGGUGAUGGCUUACCAAGGCUUUGACGGGUAGCCGGCCUGAGAGGGUGACCGGUCACAUUGGGACUGAGAUACGGCCCAGACUCCUACGGGAGGCAGCAGUGGGGAAUAUUGCACAAUGGGCGCAAGCCUGAUGCAGCGACGCCGCGUGAGGGAUGGAGGCCUUCGGGUUGUGAACCUCUUUCGCUCAUGGUCAAGCCGCAACUCAUGGUUGUGGUGAGGGUAGUGGGUAAAGAAGCGCCGGCUAACUACGUGCCAGCAGCCGCGGUAAUACGUAGGGCGCGAGCGUUGUCCGGAAUUAUUGGGCGUAAAGGGCUUGUAGGCGGUUGGUCGCGUCUGCCGUGAAAUCCUCUGGCUUAACUGGGGGCGUGCGGUGGGUACGGGCUGGCUUGAGUGCGGUAGGGGAGACUGGAACUCCUGGUGUAGCGGUGGAAUGCGCAGAUAUCAGGAAGAACACCGGUGGCGAAGGCGGGUCUCUGGGCCGUUACUGACGCUGAGGAGCGAAAGCGUGGGGAGCGAGCAGG